AUGUUAUACUGCACAAUAAUGUAUAAUCACACAUUAUGUUAGGAGUACCCAAGUACUUAAAAAUGUAACUAGAUAUACUUGAAUUCAAUAAGAAAAUAGACUUGAAAACAAAAACAAUUUCAAGUAACCUCAUUAUUACUAACAUGUUUUAUUUCUACACAGAAAAAGAUGAAUAAUCAAUAAAAACUUCUUGGAGUUACUCAAAGUAGGAUGUAAUAUUUUAAUGAUGCAAACACUAUUUAUAUUCAUAUUUUGGAUACGUACUACUUCAAGAAAAUAUUGUUGUUAUAUAAGUCUAUAGUUGAUUACCUCUAUUUAUAUUUUAAUAAUGCAAGUCAAUUAAGAAGCAGUUCAUUAAAAUCAUUACAUCUUUAUUCAUAAAUAAAGAGAUCAUGGUGAAGUAUGAGUAUCUUUCUCUUUCUAUUUUUGUUUUUAAACAUAAUUGAAAAAAUUAAGUAUCCAACAAAACAUAUCAUUAUCCUUACAAAAGACAGAAACAUGUUGUACCUGAUAAUUUUAACUCAGAGUCGAGAACUUUAAAAGAAGAUAACCUACCGUGAUGGUUAAAGACCCCUGCUGAUAGCGUGUUAUAAAAUGAAAGCAAUUUAGUAAAACAUGAACAAGAAAUAUAAGCAAC
rnacentral:lncRNA from 1 species